rnacentral:rRNA from 1 species
UAGGGAAUCUUCGGCAAUGGACGGAAGUCUGACCGAGCAACGCCGCGUGAGUGAAGAAGGUUUUCGGAUCGUAAAGCUCUGUUGUAAGAGAAGAACGAGUGUGAGAGUGGAAAGUUCACACUGUGACGGUAUCUUACCAGAAAGGGACGGCUAACUACGUGCCAGCAGCCGCGGUAAUACGUAGGUCCCGAGCGUUGUCCGGAUUUAUUGGGCGUAAAGCGAGCGCAGGCGGUUAGAUAAGUCCGAAGUUAAAGGCUGUGGCUUAACCAUAGUACGCUUUGGAAACUGUUUAACUUGAGUGCAAGAGGGGAGAGUGGAAUUCCAUGUGUAGCGGUGAAAUGCGUAGAUAUAUGGAGGAACACCGGUGGCGAAAGCGGCUCUCUGGCUUGUAACUGACGCUGAGGCUUGAAAGCGUGGGGAGCAAACAGGAUUAGAUACCCUGGUAGUCCACGCCGUAAACGAUGAGUGCUAGGUGUUAGACCCUUUCCGGGGUUUAGUGCCGUAGCUAACGCAUUAAGCACUCCGCCUGGGGAGUACGACCGCAAGGUUG